GAGGUUGUGGCUCAGUGGUACAGUGCUCACCUUGCAAGAGUGAGGCCCUGGGUUCGACCCUCAGCACCACA
rnacentral:tRNA from 1 species